rnacentral:rRNA from 1 species
GAUGAACGCUGGCGGCGUGCCUAAUACAUGCAAGUCGAGCGAACAGAUGAGGAGCUUGCUCCUCUGACGUUAGCGGCGGACGGGUGAGUAACACGUGGAUAACCUACCUAUAAGACUGGGAUAACUUCGGGAAACCGGAGCUAAUACCGGAUAAUAUAUUGAACCGCAUGGUUCAAUAGUGAAAGACGGUUUUGCUGUCACUUAUAGAUGGAUCCGCGCCGCAUUAGCUAGUUGGUAAGGUAACGGCUUACCAAGGCAACGAUGCGUAGCCGACCUGAGAGGGUGGUCGGCCACACUGGAACUGAGACACGGUCCAGACUCCUACGGGAGGCAGCAGUAGGGAAUCUUCCGCAAUGGGCGAAAGCCUGACGGAACAACGCCGCGUGAGUGAUGAAGGUCUUCGGAUCGUAAAACUCUGUUAUUAGGGAAGAACAAAUGUGUAAGUAACUAUGCACGUCUUGACGGUACCUAAUCAGAAAGCCACGGCUAACUACGUG